ACGGGUGAGUAACACGUGACCAACCUGCCCCCGACUCUGGGAUAACCCCGGGAAAUCGGAGCUAAUACCGGAUAUGAGACGCACGGGCAUCUGUGCGUCUGGAAAGAAUUUCGGUCGGGGAUGGGGUCGCGGCCUAUCAGCUAGUUGGUGGGGUAACGGCCCACCAAGGCGACGACGGGUAGCCGGCCUGAGAGGGCGACCGGCCACACUGGGACUGAGACACGGCCCAGACUCCUACGGGAGGCAGCAGUGGGGAAUAUUGCACAAUGGGCGAAAGCCUGAUGCAGCGACGCCGCGUGAGGGAUGACGGCCUUCGGGUUGUAAACCUCUUUCAGCAGGGAAGAAGCGAAAGUGACGGUACCUGCAGAAGAAGCGCCGGCUAACUACGUGCCAGCAGCCGCGGUAAUACGUAGGGCGCAAGCGUUGUCCGGAAUUAUUGGGUGUAAAGAGCUCGUAGGCGGUCUGUCGCGUCUGCUGUGAAAACCCGAGGCUCAACCUCGGGCCUGCAGUGGGUACGGGCAGACUAGAGUGCGGUAGGGGAGACUGGAAUUCCUGGUGUAGCGGUGGAAUGCGCAGA
rnacentral:rRNA from 1 species